UACGUAGGGGGCGAGCGUUGUCCGGAUUUAUUGGGCGUAAAGAGCGCGUAGGCGGAGCGUUAAGUCUGGCCUGAAAGCCCCCGGCUCAACCGGGGAAGGUGGCUGGAAACUGGCGUUCUUGAGGGCGACAGAGGAGAGUGGAAUUCCUGGUGUAGCGGUGGAAUGCGCAGAUGUCAGGAGGAACACCGAUGGCGAAGGCAGAUCUCUGGGCCGUAACUGACGCUGAGGAGCGAAAGCAUGGGGAGCGAACAGG
rnacentral:rRNA from 1 species